GACGAACGCUGGCGGCGUGCUUAACACAUGCAAGUCGAACGAUGAAGCCGGAGCUUGCUCUGGCGAAUUAGUGGCGAACGGGUGAGUAACACGUGAGUAACCUGCCCUUGACUCUGGGAUAACUGCUAGAAAUGGUAGCUAAUACCGGAUACGACCCUCGGAGGCAUCUCCAGGGGGUGGAAAGAAUUUCGGUCAAGGAUGAACUCGCGGCCUAUCAGCUAGUUGGUGAGGUAACGGCUCACCAAGGCGACGACGGGUAGCCGGCCUGAGAGGGUGACCGGCCACACUGGGACUGGGGCACGGCCCAGACUCCUACGGGAGGCAGCAGUGGGGAAUAUUGCACAAUGGGCGCAAGCCUGAUGCAGCAACGCCGCGUGGGGGAUGACGGCCUUCGGGUUGUAAACCUCUUUUAGUAGGGAAGAAGCGAAAGUGACGGUACCUGCAGAAAAAGCACCGGCUAACUACGUGCCAGCCGCCGCGGUAA
rnacentral:rRNA from 1 species